rnacentral:sRNA from 3 species
AAACCUCAAAACAACGAAAGCCCUACCUCUCUUUCGUCCUUACGGCUCCGAUGACCGUGCCAGUAUGAAUCGGGAUAUCCAAAAACAA